rnacentral:lncRNA from 1 species
GAUGUUUCUCAGUGUUAGUGCAGCCAAUGGACUGCAGAUUUCCCAACUCUCUGAGCACUUCAGCUGCUUUCAGCAACUUCACAUUCACAUUCCAGUAAUGGGAGACAGUUAAUUCAGUCCGUUGCGCUGCUUUGAAAAUUUCCACCCUUGACUUGCAAACAAACAAAAACACCAACCUUUAAGCUAAUGCCUUUCCCUGUGUGAAUAUAAUAACUUCUCCCGGUGACAGAAAUUCUGCUGUGAGUAGUGGCAAGCGUUGCUUUGUUGAAGCCUCCUGCAAACCCGCAUUGUUUGAUGUCAUUACACACAGAGAAGCUGAAGCCUGGUGUUGUGCUCCAGCGACUGAAGGAGCAACACAACGCUGCAGAAAUGAGAUGGAGAAAAGGAGAUGCUGAUGACAGUCCAGGCAAUAAUUUUUUUCUGGUUUUUCUAUGGGAUUAAGUGCCCUUUUGGAGUUUUUCUUUCAGCUGUUUCCAGCUUUACUGAUUACCUUCAUUUUCAGACAUCUUACUUUUAAUUUUGAACUAAGCUUCCAACUGCAAAAGGAAUGUGCCACUAUUCAAUUUUUGUUUCUUUUUGGUUGU